CCUACGGGUGGCAGCAGUAGGGAAUCUUUCACAAUGGGCGAAAGCCUGAUGGAGCAACGCCGCGUGGGUGAAGAAGGUCUUCGGAUUGUAAAACUCUGUUGUUAGAGAAGAAAGUGCGUGAGUGUAACUGUGCACGUUUCGACGGUAUCUAACCAGAAAGCCACGGCUAACUACGUGCCAGCAGCCGCGGUAAUACGUAGGUGGCAAGCGUUAUCCGGUUUUAUUGGGCGGAAAGGGAACGCAGGCGGUCUUUUAAGUCUGAUGUGAAAGCCUUCGGCUUAACCGGAGUAGUGCAUUGGAAACUGGGAGACGUGAGUGCAGAAGAGGAGAGUGGAACUCCAUGUGUAGCGGUGAAAUGCGUAGAUAUAAGGAAGAACACCAGUGGCGAAGGCGGCUCUCUGGUCUGUAACUGACGCUGAGGUUCGAAAGCGUGGGUAGCAAACAGGAUUAGAUACCCUUGUAGUC
rnacentral:rRNA from 1 species